GAAUUAAUGUCAGACACAAACAAAACGCACGUCCAGCUGGAAUUAAAAGGUCUUGGAGACCCCAAGAGUCUAGUUGAGGCGAGGAAGAGCAGAAGACAUGCUGAAUGACCAUUGCUGGUCUCAGGUCACCAACCAGUUGGAGCAGAGGUGAGA
rnacentral:lncRNA from 1 species